AUCUUGCGCAAUGGGCGAAAGCAUGACGCAGCCAUGCCGCGUGUAUGAGGUAGGUCUUAGGAUUGAAAAAUUCUUUCCCCGGGGAAGAUAAUGACGGUACCCGGAGAAGACGCCACGGCUAACUUCGUGCCAGCAGCCGCGGUACUACGAAGGGGGCUAGCGUUGCUCGGAAUUACUGGGCGGAAAGGGCGCGUAGGCGGACAUUUAAGUCAGGGGUGAAAUCCCAGAGCUCAACUCUGGAACUGACUUUGAUACUGGGUGUCUUGAGUAUGAGAGAGGUAUGUGGAACUCCGAGUGUAGAGGUGAAAUUCGUAGAUAUUCGGAAGAACACCAGUGGCAAAGGCGACAUACUGGCUCAUUACUGACGCUGAGGCGCGAAAGCGUGGGGAGCAAACAG
rnacentral:rRNA from 1 species